rnacentral:rRNA from 1 species
UGGGGAAUAUUGGACAAUGGGCGCAAGCCUGAUCCAGCCAUGCCGCGUGAGUGAUGAAGGCCCUAGGGUUGUAAAGCUCUUUCACCGGUGAAGAUAAUGACGGUAACCGGAGAAGAAGCCCCGGCCAACUUCGUGCCAGCAGCCGCGGUAAUACGAAGGGGGCUAGCGUUGUUCGGAUUUACUGGGCGUAAAGCGCACGUAGGCGGACUAUUAAGUCAGGGGUGAAAUCCCGGGGCUCAACCCCGGAACUGCCUUUGAUACUGGUAGUCUUGAGUUCGAGAGAGGUGGGUGGAAUUCCGGGUGUAGAGGUGAAAUUCGUAGAUAUUCGGAGGAACACCAGUGGCGAAGGCGGCUCACUGGCUCGAUACUGACGCUGAGGUGCGAAAGCGUGGGGAGCAAACAGG